UGUAGGAAGAGGUAAUGACUCUUAGAGGUUCUCAAGAAGUUUGGUAUUAGUAUGUUCCUCAGCAAGGUUAUUUCUAUUGAAUUCGGAAAGAAAAUAUUCUGGUAGGGCAAGUUGUUCGGGUAUAAAGUAGUCUGUGAGAUUUGGCUCUAAGUAGAGAAGUAGGAGAUGCAAUUGCUGCUGUGGUGUCUACUGGGAUCUGAGGGCCUCUGGAGACUUGGAGCCUUCUUUGUCUAACUUCAGCCAUGGAUAACCCACGUGUCCGAAUCCCAUUGGAGUGCAAGCUUGACCCCUGAAGUCUGACCUGCUGUGGAGGCCAUUCCUCAGCAAGACACCUGCCCUAAUGAGUAAAUCCUGGAGGAGCAUCAGCAGCCUUCAGUCCUUUGGCCUUGCGUGUUUUAUUACUUUAAAAAGAGAGAAAAUAAGCACUUUUUUCUUCACUUUAUUGAUGCAUAUGUUUCAUAGGGCUGUAGAAACUAUGGAGUUUCUAGGCCAGAAAGAUAAAGGAAUUGGGUAUUCUGGUGUGCCUUUGCAGCAGAGGAUGAUAGAAGUAUGAUUACAGCUGRAUGCCAUUCUGAUUCCCAGGGAAAUCAUGAUUUUUGACAAAAACAACUUGCUCCUAUUAAAACCGCCCCCUGCUCCAGGGCAGCUUACCGGAUAAAGUGGCCAGAGUUCACCUGUGGGACCUCUGUUUGAGCCAACUUGAGGUUAUAACCUAAUUGGCUUCUAUGGCUUGGCUCAUCAGGGCAGGGGAUGGAUCAUUGCCAGCGCAUUAGGAAACCUGCAGCCCUGUUGAAUGGCCUGAAGAGAGAACUCCAGAAGCCAAAACUUGAGAGAAUUCUUGGUGUCCUGCUUGUGAAUGAGGAAUGAUCAUCUCAAGGAUCCUCCAAGGUUAUCAAAGGUUUAAAGCUCAGGCAGCAGUGUUAAAUGCUGGGAAAAAUCGAAGAAUUCUUUAAAAAUAUAACCAAUAAUGUUCUAAAAAGUUUCAUCUUACCCUGAGAAUCCUUUGAGUAUCUUAAAAGCAAGGAGAGAAAAAAAAGAAAUAUGCUAGAAAUCAAUUCAGAAUAAAUAUAAUUUUUUUUUGGUAAAUCAAUGUGCAUGUUGCAU